AGCGAACGCUGGCGGCAGGCUUAACACAUGCAAGUCGAGCGGGCGUAGCAAUACGUCCGCGGCAGACGGGUGAGUAACGCGUGGGAACGUACCUUUUGGUUCGGAACAACACAGGGAAACUUGUGCUAAUACCGGAUAAGCCCUUACGGGGAAAGAUUUAUCGCCGAAAGAUCGGCCCGCGUCUGAUUAGCUAGUUGGUGAGGUAACGGCUCACCAAGGCGACGAUCAGUAGCUGGUCUGAGAGGAUGAUCAGCCACAUUGGGACUGAGACACGGCCCAAACUCCUACGGGAGGCAGCAGUGGGGAAUAUUGGACAAUGGGGGCAACCCUGAUCCAGCCAUGCCGCGUGAGUGAUGAAGGCCCUAGGGUUGUAAAGCUCUUUUGUGCGGGAAGAUAAUGACGGUACCGCAAGAAUAAGCCCCGGCUAACUUCGU
rnacentral:rRNA from 1 species